AUUGAACGCUGGCGGCAGGCUUAACACAUGCAAGUCGAGCGGAGCGAGGGUGCUUGCACCUUAGCUUAGCGGCGGACGGGUGAGUAAUGCUUAGGAAUCUGCCUAUUAGUGGGGGACAACAUUCUGAAAGGAAUGCUAAUACCGCAUACGCCCUACGGGGAAAGCAGGGGAUCUUCGGACCUUGCGCUAAUAGAUGAGCCUAAGUCGGAUUAGCUAGUUGGUGGGGUAAAGGCCUACCAAGGCGACGAUCUGUAGCGGGUCUGAGAGGAUGAUCCGCCACACUGGAACCGAGAAACGGCCCAGACUCCUACGGGAGGUAGCAGUGGGGAAUAUUGGACAAUGGGCGGAAGCCUGAUCCAGCCAUGCCGCGUGUGUGAAGAAGGCCUUUUGGUUGUAAAGCACUUUAAGCGAGGAGGAGGCUACUUAGAUUAAUACUCUGGGAUAGUGGACGUUACUCGCAGAAUAAGCACCGGCUAACUCUGUGCCAGCCGCCGCCGUAA
rnacentral:rRNA from 1 species